CCUACGGGUGGCUGCAGUGGGGAAUAUUGGGCAAUGGGCGCAAGCCUGACCCAGCAACGCCGCGUGAAGGAAGAAGGCUUUCGGGUUGUAAACUUCUUUUGUCAGGGACGAGUCGAAGACGGUUCCUUUCGAAAUAGGCAAGGCCUACCUCGGUGCCAGAAGCCCCGGUAAUACGUGGGGGGCAAGCGUUUUCCGGAUUGACGGGGUGUAAAGGGCGUGUAGGCGGGUGGGCAAGUCAGAUGUGAAAUCCUGGGGCUUACCCGGUGAACUGCAUUUGAAACUGUUUAUCUUGAGUACUGGAGAGGCAGACGGAAUUCCUAGUGUAGCGGUGAAAUGCGUAGAUAUUAGGAGGAACACCAGUGGCGAAGGCGGUCUGCUAGAACAUAACUGACGCUGAUGCGCGAAAGCGUGGGGAGCAAACAGGAUUAGAUACCCUAGUAGUC
rnacentral:rRNA from 1 species